ACGAACGCUGGCGGCGUGCUUAACACAUGCAAGUCGAACGGAAAGGCCCUGCUUUUGUGGGGUGCUCGAGUGGCGAACGGGUGAGUAACACGUGAGUAACCUGCCCUUGACUUUGGGAUAACUUCAGGAAACUGGGGCUAAUACCGGAUAGGAGCUCCUGCUGCAUGGUGGGGGUUGGAAAGUUUCGGCGGUUGGGGAUGGACUCGCGGCUUAUCAGCUUGUUGGUGGGGUAGUGGCUUACCAAGGCUUUGACGGGUAGCCGGCCUGAGAGGGUGACCGGCCAAAUUGGGACGGAGAUACGGCCCAGACCCCUACGGGGGGCAGCAGUGGGGAAUAUUGCAAAAUGGGCGGAAGCCUGAUGCAGCAACGCCGGGGGGGGGAUGACGGCCUUCGGGUUGGAAACCGCUUUCGCCUGUGACGAAGCGGGAGUGACGGUAAUGGGUAAAGAAGCACCGGCUAACUACGU
rnacentral:rRNA from 1 species